GGCUCAGGACGAACGCUGGCGGCGUGCUUAACACAUGCAAGUCGAGCGGUAAGGCUCCUUCGGGAGUACACGAGCGGCGAACGGGUGAGUAACACGUGAGCAAUCUGCCCUUCACUUCGGGAUAACUCCGGGAAACCGGUGCUAAUACCGAAUACGACCACUUCAGGCAUCUGAUGGUGGUGGAAAGUUCCGGCGGUGAAGGAUGAGCUCGCGGCCUAUCAGCUUGUUGGUGGGGUAACGGCCCACCAAGGCAACGACGGGUAGCCGGCCUGAGAGGGUGACCGGCCACACUGGGACUGAGACACGGCCCAGACUCCUACGGGAGGCAGCAGUGGGGAAUAUUGGACAAUGGGCGAAAGCCUGAUCCAGCAACGCCGCGUGAGGGAUGACUGCCUUCGGGUUGUAAACCUCUUUCAGCAGGGACGAAGCGCAAGUGACGGUACCUGCAGAAGAAGCACCGGCCAACUACGUGCCAGCAGCCGCGGUAAUACGUAGGGUGCGAGCGUUGUCCGGAAUUAUUGGGCGUAAAGGGCUCGUAGGCGGUCUGUCGCGUCGGGAGUGAAAACUCAGGGCUUAACCCUGAGCCUGCUUCCGAUACGGGCAGACUAGAGGUAUGCAGGGGAGAACGGAAUUCCUGGUGUAGCGGUGGAAUGCGCAGAUAUCAGGAGGAACACCGGUGGCGAAGGCGGUUCUCUGGGCAUUACCUGACGCUGAGGAGCGAAAGUGUGGGGAGCGAACAGGAUUAGAUACCCUGGUAGUCCACACCGUAAACGUUGGGCGCUAGGUGUGGGACUCAUUCCACGAGUUCCGUGCCGCAGCUAACGCAUUAAGCGCCCCGCCUGGGGAGU
rnacentral:rRNA from 1 species